CCAGACUCCUACGGGAGGCAGCAGUGGGGAAUAUUGCACAAUGGGGGAAACCCUGAUGCAGCGACGCCGCGUGAGUGAAGAAGUAUUUCGGUAUGUAAAGCUCUAUCAGCAGGGAAGAGAAUGACGGUACCUGAGUAAGAAGCCCCGGCUAACUACGUGCCAGCAGCCGCGGUAAUACGUAGGGGGCAAGCGUUAUCCGGAUUUACUGGGUGUAAAGGGAGCGUAGACGGCGAAGAAAGUCUGAAGUGAAAGCCCGCGGCUCAACCGCGGAACUGCUUUGGAAACUGCCCGGCUAGAGUGCUGGAGAGGUAAGCGGAAUUCCUAGUGUAGCGGUGAAAUGCGUAGAUAUUAGGAGGAGCACCAGUGGCGAAGGCGGCUUACUGGACAGUAACUGACGUUGAGGCUCGAAAGCGUGGGGAGCAAACAGGAUUAGAUACCCGUGUAU
rnacentral:rRNA from 1 species